rnacentral:rRNA from 1 species
AGUGAACGCUGGCGGUAGGCCUAACACAUGCAAGUCGAGCGGCAGCACAGUAAGAGCUUGCUCUUACGGGUGGCGAGUGGCGGACGGGUGAGGAAUACAUCGGAAUCUACUUUUUCGUGGGGGAUAACGUAGGGAAACUUACUCUAAUACCGCAUACGACCUACGGGUGAAAGUAGGGGAUCUUCGCACCUUGCGCGAUUGAAUGAGCGGAUGUCGGAUUAGCUAGUUGGCGGGGUAAAGGCCCACCAAGGCGACGAUCCGUAGCUGGUCUGAGAGGAUGAUCGGCCACACUGGAACUGAGACACGGUCCAGACUCCUACGGGAGGCAGCAGUGGGGAAUAUUGGACAAUGGGCGCAAGCCUGAUCCAGCCAUACCGCGUGGGUGAAGAAGGCCUUCGGGUUGUAAAGCCCUUUUGUUGGGAAAGAAAAGCAGCAGGUUAAUACCCCGCUGUUCUGACGGUACCCAAAGAAUAAGCACCGGCUAACUUCGUG